GAAGAGAUUUAAUAUUUGUGGUUAUGGAAAUUCAGGGUCAAACUUUAGAUCCCCAAGAUCAUUCGUUCUACAGAAAACACUUCAAUGACUUGCGCAUAAAUGCCCAGAACUUGUGGGAUGAAUUAUCAUAGAAGAAGCCAACUGCUCUUCCAAUUCCACGAGUACACCAUCUUGUUUCACAUUAAACACCUACCACCUUUUUCACACGCUAUUCCAACCUCCCCUUCCAUGCCUAUUUAACCCAUCUGCUUCCCUAAAAGCUUUUCACAGUACAGCCAUGGCUAGGACUGAGCUCAAGCUUCUAGGAGCAUGGCUUAGCCCAUAUGUUAUGAGGGCAAGAAUUGCCCUUAACAUCAAAUCUGUUGACUAUGAGUUUCUUCAGGAAACUCUUGGAUCAAAAAGCCAGCUCCUUCUUGAAUCUAAUCCUGUCCAC
rnacentral:misc_RNA from 1 species